rnacentral:rRNA from 1 species
GGGGGGACGCAGUAGGAUAGGCGAAGCGUGCUGUUGGAGUGCACGUCCAAGCAGUAAGGCUGAGUGUUAGGCAAAUCCGGCACUCAUAAGGCUGAGCUGUGAUGGGGAGAGGAAAUUGUUUCCUCGAGUCGUUGAUUUCACACUGCCGAGAAAAGCCUCUAGAUAGAUAACAGGUGCCCGUACCGCAAACCGACACAGGUAGUCAAGAUGAGAAUUCUAAGGUGAGCGAGCGAACUCUCGUUAAGGAACUCGGCAAAAUGACCCCGUAACUUCGGGAGAAGGGGUGCUCUUUAGGGUUCACGCCCAGAAGAGCCGCAGUGAAUAGGCCCAAGCGACUGUUUAUCAAAAACACAGGUCUCUGCUAAACCGUAAGGUGAUGUAUAGGGGCUGACGCCUGCCCGGUGCUGGAAGGUUAAGAGGAGUGGUUAGCUUCUGCGAAGCUACGAAUCGAAGCCCCAGUAAACGGCGGCCGUAACUAUAACGGUCCUAAGGUAGCGAAAUUCCUUGUCGGGUAAGUUCCGACCCGCACGAAAGGCGUAACGAUUUGGGCACUGUCUCAACGAGAGACUCGGUGAAAUCAUAGUACCUGUGAAGAUGCAGGUUACCCGCGACAGGACGGAAAGACCCCGUGGAGCUUUACUGUAGCCUGAUAUUGAAAUUCGGCACAGCUUGUACAGGAUAGGUAGGAGCCUUUGAAACGUGAGCGCUAGCUUACGUGGAGGCGUUGGUGGGAUACUACCCUAGCUGUGUUGGCUUUCUAACCCGCACCACUUAUCGUGGUGGGAGACAGUGUCAGGCGGGCAGUUUGACUGGGGCGGUCGCCUCCUAAAAGGUAACGGAGGCGCUCAAAGGUUCCCUCAGAAUGGUUGGAAAUCAUUCAUAGAG